rnacentral:rRNA from 1 species
AAAUUGAAGAGUUUGAUCAUGGCUCAGAUUGAACGCUGGCGGCAGGCCUAACACAUGCAAGUCGAACGGUAACAGGAAACAGUUUGCUGUUUCGCUGACGAGUGGCGGACGGGUGAGUAAUGUCUGGGAAACUGCCUGAUGGAGGGGGAUAACUACUGGAAACGGUAGCUAAUACCGCAUAACGUCGCAAGACCAAAGAGGGGGACCUUCGGGCCUCUUGCCAUCGGAUGUGCCCAGAUGGGAUUAGCUAGUAGGUGGGGUAACGGCUCACCUAGGCGACGAUCCCUAGCUGGUCUGAGAGGAUG